rnacentral:rRNA from 1 species
CAGUAGCCACGGUAAUACGGAGGGUGCAAGCGUUAAUCGGAAUUACUGGGCGUAAAGCGUGCGUAGGCGGUUCGUUAAGUCUGUUGUGAAAGCCCCGGGCUCAACCUGGGAAUGGCAAUGGAUACUGGCGAGCUAGAGUGUGUCAGAGGAUGGUGGAAUUCCCGGUGUAGCGGUGAAAUGCGUAGAUAUCGGGAAGAACACCGGUGGCGAAGGCGGCGACCUGGUCUUUUACUGACGCUGAGGCGCGAAAGCGUGGGGAGCAAACAGGAUUAGAUACCCCUGUAGUCCCUGUCUCUUAUAC